GACAGAGGUGCCAAGCGUUAGGCGGAAUCACUGGGCUUAAAGCGUGCGCAGGCGGUUCGUUGUGUCGGCGGUGAAAGCCCCGGGCUCAACCUGGGAAUGGCCGUUGAAACUGGCGAACUGGAGUGUGGCAGAGGGGGGUGGAAUUCCGCGUGUAGCAGUGAAAUGCGUAGAGAUGCGGAGGAACACCGAUGGCGAAGGCAGCCCCCUGGGCUGACACUGACGCUCAGGCACGAAAGCGUGGGGAGCAAACAGG
rnacentral:rRNA from 1 species